rnacentral:snRNA from 1 species
GUCUCACUUUGGCAGGACAUAUACUAAAAUUGGAAUGAUACAGAGAUUAGCAUGGCCUCUGCACAAGGACGACAUGAAAAUUCAUGCAGUGCUCAAUAUUUGU